AAACUUAAAUGAAUUGACGGGGACCCGCACAAGCGGUGGAUGAUGUGGUUUAAUUCGAUGCAACGCGAAAAACCUUACCCACCUUUGACAUGUACGGAAUUUGCCAGAGAUGGCAUUAGUGCUCGAAAGAGAGCCGUAACACAGGUGCUGCAUGGCUGUCGUCAGCUCGUGUCGUGAGAUGUUGGGUUAAGUCCCGCAACGAGCGCAACCCUUGUCAUUAGUUGCUACAUUUAGUUGGGCACUCUAAUGAGACUGCCGGUGACAAACCGGAGGAAGGUGGGGAUGACGUCAAGUCCUCAUGGCCCUUAUAGGUGGGGCUACACACGUCAUACAAUGGCUGGUACAAAGGGUUGCCAACCCGCGAGGGGGAGCUAAUCCCAUAAAACCAGUCGUAGUCCGGAUCGCAGUCUGCAACUCGACUGCGUGAAGUCGGAAUCGCUAGUAAUCGUGGAUCAGAAUGUCACGGUGAAUACGUUCCCGGGUCUUGUACACACCGCCCGUCACACCAUGGGAGCGGGUUCUGCCAGAAGUAGUUAGCCUAACCGUAAGGAGGGCGAUUACCACGGCAGGGUUCGUGACUGGGGUGAAGUCGUAACAAGGUAGCCGUAUCGGAAGGUGCGGCUGGAUCACCUCCUUUG
rnacentral:rRNA from 1 species